rnacentral:rRNA from 1 species
CCUACGGGUGGCUGCAGUGGGGAAUAUUGCACAAUGGGGGAAACCCUGAUGCAGCGACGCCGCGUGAGGGAGGAAGGAUCUCGGUAUGUAAAGCUCUAUCAGCAGGGAAGAAAAGGACGGUACCUGACUAAGAAGCCCCGGCUAACUACGUGCCAGCAGCCGCGGUAAUACGUAGGGGGCAAGGGUUAUCCGGAUUUACUGGGUGUAAAGGGAGCGUAGACGGUCAAUCAAGUCAGAAGUGAAAACCCAGGGCUCAACCUUGGGAAUGCUUUUGAAACUGAGUAUCUAGAGUGCAGGAGAGGUAAGCGGAAUUCCUAGUGUAGCGGUGAAAUGCUUAGAUAUUAGGAGGAACACCGGUGGCGAAGGCGGCUUACUGGGCUGUAACUGACGUUGAGGCUCGAAAGCGUGGGGAGCAAACAGGAUUAGAUACCCCAGUAGUC